rnacentral:lncRNA from 1 species
AGUGCCAGGCACUGAGCUCCAAAUCCCAGACUCUGUAACGUGCAAGCAAUCCUUACUCUUUCUAUUUUAAUAUCUUAACCCAUGUAUUUAUAUACCUUGUCAAGUAAAAUGUAUUCUUUUUUAAUGAUUCUCAAAAGGAUACUCAUUGAAAAAAUUUAGAAAACACCGAAAAAUGCAAGGAAGAAAAAUACAAUUCUCUUACAAUCCUGUAUAAUCCUGUGCCUCUAGGCCUACAGUCAGCUCCAAGCAACGGCACAGACACCUCCUCCUCCGGAUGACCAGGAUUGCCUCUGGGUUUGUCACAAGCUGGAACAGGGUCCUUUGGAGGAUGGGGCUCUGUGAAGAAAAAGAGGUGAAGUGUUUGGAUUCAGUCUGAGCCAAAGGCCGCUUUAUCUGGGUUUAAGGACACAAGACUCCGUGAAAGACAAGCUAGUUCUUCUUCCUGCCCCGGCAGUCCACUGCAGGCCGAUGCAGACGCAACCACUUCCUCAGCCGCUGUGGCUGAGAGCCCGCCACUGCACUCUAUGGGCUUGGUGCUGGGUAUGGAGAGGAGGGUAUGACAUAGCCCCUGCCCUCAGAGUUUUUUCCUACUCAUUAUCCCUGCUGUCUCUGGGGACUUCUUAAAUGUCAGCAAUCAUUGUCAUCUUCACUGUUGCCUCCGCAGCCACCGCACAUGGCUGCACCUGGGCCAUCUCCUCUGAUGUAAAGGCUGUGCAGCCAAAAUUUGCAAUUCUUCCCCCAGCUUUUAAAAUUGUAGUAAAAUAUAUAUAACAUAAAA